rnacentral:rRNA from 1 species
UACAGAGGGUGCGAGCGUUGUUCGGAAUCACUGGGCGUAAAGCGCACGUAGGCGGAUUUGUCAGUCAGGGGUGAAAUCCCGGGGCUCAACCUCGGAACUGCCUUUGAUACAGCAAGUCUUGAGUUCGAGAGAGGUGGGUGGAAUUCCUAGUGUAGAGGUGAAAUUCGUAGAUAUUAGGAAGAACACCGGUGGCGAAGGCGGCCCACUGGCUCGAUACUGACGCUGAGGUGCGAAAGCGUGGGGAGCGAACAGG